GUGUUGAUAACACAGGGAUGUUUUACCUGAGAAGUGCUUACACAGAGUCAAACAUUUUUCUGUUUCUUAUACCUCUCCACAAGCAGGCUGGGGUGCACAAGAAGCUGGGAGAGGACACAACUGGGACAGCUGACUCCAGCUGACCAAAGGGAUAUUCCAUACCAUAUGAGGUCAUAGACAGCAACAAAAGCUGAGGGAAGAAGGAUGAAGAUGGUAUUCGACAACAUCCUACAGGAACAGGGGGGAGUGAGCGAGAGGCCUUGUGGGUCUGAGCAGCUGGCCAAGGUUAAACCACAGAAGUCCUGGUAUUUUCGUAUUUAACAGGUGUGCAAGAAGCUGGGAGGAGCACAGCCAGGACAGCUGACCCCAACAGACCAAAGGGGUAUUUGAUACCAAAUGACGUCAUGCUCAGUGUAUGUAUUUUGGGGGAAGGUGUCUGGGUUAACGGCUACUUGGGAACUGCCUGGGUAUGGGCUCAUGGGUGGUGAAAACUGCAUUGUGGAUCACUUGUUUUAUAUAUUCUUUUAUUAUUGUUACAAUUAUUACAAUUAUUAUACUAAUACUAGUUAUAAUUAGUAUUAUUAUUUUCUCUUUCUGCCAUAUUAAACUGUCUUUCUCUUAACCCACAAGGCUUACCUUUUCCAGUUCUCUCCCUCAUCCUGCUG